GGCUGGUAACCAUUCAUAUUCGCACUAUUGAACGAUCACCGGCCAACCGCGCCAGGGUCUUGCAUACGCUCUGGCGCGGUUAAAU
rnacentral:sRNA from 2 species